UACGUAGGUGGCAAGCGUUGUCCGGAUUUACUGGGCGUAAAGAGCGCGCAGGCGGUCGUUCAAGUCGCGUGUGAAAGCCCCCGGCUCAACUGGGGAGGGUCACGCGAUACUGAUCGACUCGAAGGCAGGAGAGGGUAGUGGAAUUCCCGGUGUAGCGGUGAAAUGCGUAGAUAUCGGGAGGAACAUCAGUGGCGAAGGCGGCUGCCUGGCCCAAUACUGACACUCAGGUGCGACAGCGUGGGGAGCAAACAGG
rnacentral:rRNA from 1 species